rnacentral:rRNA from 1 species
CCCGGUCUACCACCGGGAUGUUCAUAACCCUUUGUUGUCCGACUCUGUUGCCUCCGGGGCGACCCUGCCUUCGGGCGGGGGCUCCGGGUGGACACUUCAAACUCUUGCGUAACUUUGCAGUCUGAGUAAACUUAAUUAAUAAAUUAAAACUUUUAACAACGGAUCUCUUGGUUCUGGCAUCGAUGAAGAACGCAGCGAAAUGCGAUAAGUAAUGUGAAUUGCAGAAUUCAGUGAAUCAUCGAAUCUUUGAACGCACAUUGCGCCCCCUGGUAUUCCGGGGGGCAUGCCUGUUCGAGCGUCAUUUCACCACUCAAGCCUCGCUUGGUAUUGGGCAACGCGGUCCGCCGCGUGCCUCAAAUCGACCGGCUGGGUCUUCUGUCCCCUAAGCGUUGUGGAAACUAUUCGCUAAAGGGUGUUCGGGAGGCUACGCCGUAAAACAACCCCAUUUCUAAGGUUGACCUCGGAUCAGGUAGGGAUACCCGCUGAACUUAAGCAUAUCAUAAGNCGGGAGGAAA